rnacentral:tRNA from 1 species
UGGGCCUAUCGUUCAUCGGCUAGGACAAAUCGUUUACACCGAUUAGAGAGCGGUUCGACUCCGCUUAGGCCCAU